rnacentral:rRNA from 1 species
AGUGAACGCUGGCGGUAGGCCUAACACAUGCAAGUCGAACGGCAGCACAGUAAGAGCUUGCUCUUACGGGUGGCGAGUGGCGGACGGGUGAGGCAUACAUCGGAAUCUACUUUUUCGUGGGGGAUAACGUAGGGAAACUUACGCUAAUACCGCAUACGACCUACGGGUGAAAGCAGGGGAUCUUCGGACCUUGCGCGAUUGAAUGAGCCGAUGUCGGAUUAGCUAGUUGGCGGGGUAAAGGCCCACCAAGGCGAAGAUCCGUAGCUGGUCUGAGAGGAUGAUCAGCAACACUGGAACUGAGACACGGUCCAGACUCCUACGGGAGGCAGCAGUGGGGAAUAUUGGACAAUGGGCGCAAGCCUGAUCCAGCCAUACCGCGUGGGUGAAGAAGGCCUUCGGGUUGUAAAGCACUUUUGUUGGGAAAGAAAAGCAGCAGGUUAAUACCCCGCUGUUCUGACGGUACCCAAAGAAUAAGCACCGGCUAACUUCGUG